UGUCAAAGGAAAGCUGUCUACUGUGUUAAAACAUUUUGCACCAGUGCAAAUUUUACAUGUUUUCCUUUCUUUUUAAAUGUGUUUUCCUGUGUGGAAUGAAUGUGUUUUUUUUACAGAAAGAACCGCUUUGUCAGCGUGUCCCGGACAGGUGUCGCGGUAGUCGCUGGCUUGGCCACACCCCCUCCCAGGUGUGCCACCUGGACGUGACCCCGCCCCCUCAGAGCAGUGCGACCAGAUGACGUUGAGUUCAAAGGCUUGAGUUUGUGCUCCUGCACAAUUCAAAAUUCAUUCGUUUUUUUUUUUUUUGUUUUGUUUACGCUAAAUGGUUAUCUCUCAAUACACUGCGCUUUGCCCGUCGCCUUCUUCCACACGUGAAUGAGACGGAAUUGUCUUCAGCGUGUCCAAACGAGCAAAGAUGGGCCGAAUGGCCUCCUCUCGUUUGUAAACUUUCUUAUGUUCUUAUGUGUCUCCGGCAGGUAAAUUGAACUGCAGCGUCUCAGGAUGCAGGGGGGUGAACGAUAAGCUAGAUCCACUUUCUCAGCGAUUGACUUGAGGAGGUCCCAGAUGAAGAUGCACCCUCCUCCCUCACUGUUCAGUCGAAUGUACAGGAGUAGAGUGGUUCUGUGGUGCCUAGCUAUGUUUAUUGAAACACAGGCAGCCCAUAGCCUUAUUAAUAACAGUUAACGUGUGUAUAAUUUACCUGACCUGUGUAGAUGUUUGAAGCAGUGCACUGCCCAGUGGUGUGCCCUUCUGUCCUUGUUUUAAGAAAUACAUGUCUUUACACAAGUCUCCUUUUUGUUUGUAUUUAUUUAUAAUUUUUCUCCCCAGUGCAUUUGGCUGGUAUUAGUAGCUAGCAAAUAAUGUAAUUUAAUGCAUCUAUUUAUUACUGAAGAUGUCCUCUGUGCACUGGGAGG